rnacentral:tRNA from 1 species
GCCCAGGUGGCGGAAUUGGUAGACGCACUACCUUGAGGUGGUAGCGGCGUAAGCUGUGGGGGUUCGAGUCCCCCCUUGGGCACCA